AUUACUUUUAUAUCCAGGCACACAAUGUCCUUCUGAUGACAGGAUCAUACCAAGUUUACUCGGGGAAAAGUUGACCACAUCCAGAUUGUGAGCUUUCCUAAAUGUUUGGAAGAUAGCAAGUAUUGGAAUGGUGAUUCUGUCAUAGAGGUAGACGCUGUGCUAUAAGAGCAUACAAAGCUUUAUUACUUAUUACAUUUUCAUAUACAGGCACACAAUGUCCUUCUUAUGACAGAAUUAUACCAUAUGUACUUGAAAAGUUGACCACAUCCAGAUUGUGAGUUUUCCUGAGUAUUUGUAAGAGAGCGAUUGUUUGAAUGGUGAUUCUGUGCCAUUAGAAUAUGAAGAGUUUUAUUACUUAUUACCUUUAUAUACAGGCACACAAUGUCCUUCGUAUGACAGAAUCAUACCAGGUUUACUUGGUGAAAAGUUGACCACAUCCAGAUUGUGAGUUUUCCUGAGUGUUUGGAAGAUAGCAAGUAUUGGAAUGGUGAUUUUGUCAUAGAGGUAGAUGCUGUGCCAUUAGAAUAUGCAUAGCUUUUUAUUACUUAUUACUUUUAUAUACAGGCACACAAUGUCCCUCAUAUGACAGAAUCAUACCAGGUUUACUUGGUGAAAAGUUGAACACAUCCAGGACGGGAGUUUUCCUAAUGUUUGGAAGAUAGCAAGUAUUGGAAUGGUGAUUCUGUCAUAGAGGUAGACGCUGUGCCAUUAGCAUAUCCAUAGGUAACGAUAAGUAAAAGGUAGAACCGAAGUCUGUACAGUUAAAAGUAUUUCGACUGUACAUCAAUGAUGUCAGCAGAUUUGUAAUAUCUUGUCAUGCAAAUAUGGAUGUUGGAUGGAGAUGCUGAAUACCUUGAGAAAUGGAAAGAACUAGAGACAUGGUAAAAUAGAAAAUUAACGUACCAUCCAUGAUCAUAUUAGUCUGUUAAAUGACAAUGAAAUGACUGGGUGAAUAUAAUGGUUAUUGCCAACGUCGUGUAAAGGAAAGCAGCUAGAGUGGUGCUUUUUUAUUUAACUGAAUGUCAUUCCUUUCAGUCCUCAAAGUUGAAUACAACCACAACAAUGAUUAUGAAAGAAAUGUAACUAUUGAACGAUGUAAUAAUGCAAAACCGUUACAAAAACUCGUAUAUCUGCUGUAUGUCAUUGAGACUGGAGAUGUUAGGAAAGUUGAAUUUUUUUCGUUAAUUCUAUUAAAGUAAAAUCGCUACGGCUGAA